rnacentral:lncRNA from 10 species
CAAGGUUUUUAUGCUUAAAGAAAAAAAUAUUGAUACGGAGUUGGACAACAUGACUGAACAGAAGUAGCUAGUGUAUGCCACUCUCAUGAAGAGAAAUGUAAUGGGUGAGUAUAAAUACAGCACCUUCAAUGGAAACAUCCAAGUACACACAUUGGAAACGCAUCAAGGAAAUAAGCUGACCCAUGGAGAAUGGAGAAAAGCAAGGCAGGAUGGCUGCCCACCCAGGAGUGACAUGGAGCCAGGAGCACCUCCUCGGCCCAGGGAAGUGGUAAAGGAUAACUAUUGAAGAUGUUUCAGCAGAAGGUUUACACAACCAGAUAUGUCUGUCAGAUCACUUUGAAUAUUAUGGAUUGAAGGAUAAUGAGACUGAAAGCAGAGAGAAAAAAGACCCUCGAUCUUGCAGAAGACUUGCCAUGCGGCAGUUUCUCAUCUGCCUCCCUGAUUCCACUAAGGUAUGGAACUUUCCAUUUUGCCCCUUUCAGAUAAAACUGCUUAGCUGAAGCCUAGAGUUCACUUCUCAAAAACAAAGCAACCCACCACUCAUGUUGUCUGUCAUCUGACCCCCCUAGUUUGGUAUCAUCCUGUGGAAUUGGGGAUGUAAGCAGCUAAUACCAUGCUGAUCUUGCUUUGCCAUCUGUGUAAGUAAUAAACUGUUUAAAUCCAUUAGGG